AUUGAACGCUGGCGGCAGGCUUAACACAUGCAAGUCGAGCGGAGAUGAGGUGCUUGCACCUUAUCUUAGCGGCGGACGGGUGAGUAAUGCUUAGGAAUCUGCCUAUUAGUGGGGGACAACAUUCCGAAAGGAAUGCUAAUACCGCAUACGUCCUACGGGAGAAAGCAGGGGAUCUUCGGACCUUGCGCUAAUAGAUGAGCCUAAGUCGGAUUAGCUAGUUGGUGGGGUAAAGGCCUACCAAGGCGACGAUCUGUAGCGGGUCUGAGAGGAUGAUCCGCCACACUGGGACUGAGACACGUCCCAGACCCCUACUGGAGGCAGCAGUGGGGAAUAUUGGACAAUGGGGGGAACCCUGAUCCAGCCAUGCCGCGUGUGUGAAGAAGGCCUUUUGGUUGUAAAGCACUUUAAGCGAGGAGGAGGCUUACCUAGUUAAUACCUGGGAUAAGUGGACGUUACUCGCAGAAUAAGCACCGGCUAACUCUGUGCCAGCCGCCGCCGUAAUAC
rnacentral:rRNA from 1 species